AACAACUUUUAUCAGGUUUCAAGAAAUUGUACCUCUGAAUGCUGGAAGUGUUAUAGUGCCAGAGAACACAAUGUUAUGCAUGCAAUGGAAUUCUCUUAUUAGAACAGCUCUGAACAAGAUAGCUGUCAACAACAUCAUCCUUCAGAAGGUAGAGGAAGAAGAAAAUCAAAAGGUUUACCCACCAAACAAAGAGAGUUCCUCACAUUUUGAAUGCAUAAUUAGCAAGCAAAUGGUGGGAGUUUUUAUUACCAUAUGGGCGAGGUCUCCACUCCUUCCAUAUAUCAGGCAUACAAGUGUCUCCUCUGUAGGCUGUGGUAUAUUUGGCUACCUCGGAAACAAGGUAAAGAAUUGGUGUAAAUUUCUAUUUCUUGAUCAUAAUAGCACAUUCCCUACAAAAUAUAAUAAUUACUGAUAAAUUAUAGUAAGCAAGAUAUAAAAUUUGAGUUAUUUGCACACGCUGGCGCCCCCGCCACCAGGGUGUAACUCCAUAAUCAGAGAAUAUAUGGAGUAUAAAUGUAACAAACGGGAUAGAAACACAAUCAUAUGCAUCCAGUUUUCAAUUUACUAAUUUUCAGUAAAUGAUAUACAGGGUUCAGUGUCGGUUAGAUUUUGCUUGCAUGAAACAAGCUUCUGCUUUGUGUGUAGUCACUUAGCUUCCGGAGGAAAAGAAGGAGAUGAGAGACAGAGAAAUGCAGAUGCCUCCCAAAUACUAUCACGCACAAGAUUUCCUUGUGACUCAUUUCAGCAUUUGCCAAGAAAAAUUCUACAGCACGAGUACGUUUACCUUUUCAUAAUAUUAUAAACAGUCACAUUUUUUCCUUUGGAUUCUCAUGGCCUUAGCAUUUUCCUUUAGAGUUACAGUACCUUGAAUCUUGAUAUAGCAUCAGCAGCUAGUGUGCUAAUAACACAGUUAAACGUUUGAUUAUGCUUCAUAGAGGCAAGAAGCAGACGCUAUUAUCCUGUCCAAGACCCAUAGACAGUUGAUUAGGUGAGAAAAAGAACAUAAAAGAUAAGGGGGAGAGAGAUUGUGUUAAAUGCAUAUGAACCCUCAUGUCAGCAUUUGGGCAAAUAGUUUUACACUUGUCUUUCUUAGCACAAUAAAGAAGACUUCACUUUGUAUAAACUGAUUAUUACUCCUAUAUAUCAACUUGUGAAUAUCUUGCAAAGUCUUCUAGCAACCAUAAGCUGGUUAAUAUCAUACUGUAGAUGAUUUGGCUAGCUGACGUGUCAUAGGUACAACAAAGAAGACUUCACUUUGUACAUAUUGAUUAUUAUAUACCAACUUGUGAAUAUAUUGAAAUUAUCUUCUAACAACCAUAAGCUGGUUAAUCUCAUACAGUAGGGUGAUUUGGCUAGGAGACCUGAAUUAUAGGAUUUAUUUACCUGAAGCCGUAACAAGAUCUUUAGUCAACGGCAGGCAGUGGAGCAUCUUAUUACAAAAGGAUCAGGUACUGUAAGCAAAAAAAUAACAAUUUUAAAGUUCCAGAAAGCAUUCAAAUAUACAGAAAGCAUUCAAAUUUGGAAGUUCACAUUGAAAACUUGGAAAUAUGAAGCUGAAGGCCGAGCUAAGAGAAGGCUGUAUUUUCAAAGGUUGGCAAGAGGAAGAAAUUGAGUUUGCACCAACAUACAAAUAUUAUCCAGAUUCUGAUGAUUAUUAUGGCUGCAAUCAGAACGAGAAAAGGGGAAAGAGUCGAGCCCCAGCUUGGUAAGUUGCCUAAGAACAUAAGAAUUUACCUAAAAGCAAAUGGAACAAGCAUAUUUAAUAAAGAAAAAUAUUCUAUAGGUGUGACCGGAUUAUAUGGUUUGGCAAGGGACUGAAGCAAAGCCAGUAUAAUAGAGGUGAGUUUAGAUUGUCAGACCACAGACCAGUAUGGGCAACUUUCACGGCAGAGGUCAAGGUUCUAUCACCAUUAUAUUAGAGGACUUAGAAGGCCUUGCCAAACAGUUUUGAAAACUUUGUGAAGCAGUUAUAAAUUUCUAAUAAUGGCAAUAGUGACAGAUUAUCGUGUAUUCAAGAUAUCCCAUAACAUCAGCAACAUUCAAACAAAAACACCAAAAGAACACAAUAGUUGGGAAAAGGGAUAGUGAGAAAAGAAAUUAAGUGCCCAAAAUUUGGGUCCUAAAUAAUUAGGUCAAUACACCUACUAUAACAUUUUGUUUUAUAAGUUUCUCUAUUGUUGGGAACGUAAGGGGACAGCAAGGGGAUGAUGAACUUUCUGGCUGAUUCAUGUCAAGCUUUUCUCGAAAAUAAGGAAAAAGAAAAAAGGGAUUAUGGGAAGGUGAGGCAUCCACAAUUUUUUUGAAGUACCUUUUAGGAACAUGGUAGCUAUAUUGAUCCAGAAAGGGCAAUGCAAGGUUAAAAGGAAAAAUACAUGUGGCAACAGAAAUUAUAAAAUGCAACGAUGAAAAAAAGAAACUAUAAAAUGCAUGUAAAUUGUAUCUUAAACAAACAAAAAAAAAAGUAUAGAUGUCUUCGCUUGGACAGAGAGUUGGCAUUUCCACUUUCAGUGCACAAUAGCAGGAAGGGAAAGAACAAACUACUGGUAGUUCUAUUGUUGUAGACAACAGAGAAGUUCAUAAGAUUCACCGAUCCUUACCCCAACUAGCACGAAUCACUACGCUGAAAGUUAGUCAUAUAGAAAGACAACCAACAUUAAGAUUAGUCAAAGUUCAGGUCAUUGUAUUAAACAAAAUGUUUAGCACAAACAUAAAUGCAAAGAGAACAACACCCAAGUAGCAUCUGUUGAACUGAACAAACUUGCAUUUUGUUUUCUUGUACUCAAAUCACUGUUUUCCCUUUAUUUUAGAUUAUUAUUGUUAGUAGUAGCAGAUAAUAUCAGCUCAAGGGUAUUGUAAGAACUUAUUUUGGAGUAUAAAAGCUGUUGAGAUCCAAACUAUGCCAAUAUCUGUCUAUUCCAUUUAGGUAUUUAAAGUAAAGUUAACUGUUUAUUAACAAUUGAUAUCCUUUUUACCAUUCAAUUGCCGACUAAUACAAAUAUAACCAACAAUCAGUCGAUCAGUAUCCAACAUCUUAGAAAGAAAGAAACGAAAUUUAACUGUUGAAGAUACUAGAAAGACUAUUUGAGAUUUAAAAAAAACAAAUACCUGCAAAAGAACCAACUAAAUACUGCAGAGCUUAUCAAAGAUGAGGAAGCAACUCUUUUACCAUUAGGUGCCUAUGAUGUUGAUUAUUGAGGAGUAGUGCUUUUAAAGAACUUGGAGAAUCAAAAUCAUGAACACAGUCAGAUCAGGUAACUUAUCUUCAUAGAAUAUCAUGGAUAUCCAAAAUUUCACUUUCUUGAAUCUCUGUAAUCCUCUUAAGAACACUUACAAUUGACAGAGACCUUAUUACUUUAUGUAUACUUAAGGACCUUACAUCACCAAGCGACCUUAAAAUAUAGCAAAUAUAACACUAAAAAGUAUUUUAAGAAAAAGCCUCAAGAGUUUGAGCAUGCAUGGACCGUACAUUUGGUGUCCUUGAAACUUGUAAAUAAACAAAAUAUAACAAAGUCGUCACCUCUUUUACUCGUGGCAAGAAUAAACCCUGACAAUAUGUAAUAAGAAUACAUCCUGCAUCAAAAACAAGCUCAAUAGUAUAGUGUGCAGGGUCGAACCACGAGCGUACUUGGUGUAUAACCUUCAUAGCAUCUUUCCAUUAUACUUUGCUUGACAUGACCGAACACUUUAAAAGUAGGUGAGAAACAAGCUAAUGCUGUCAUCAGAAUACUUACAAAACUCAUGAUUCACAAUGAUAUAUAUCCCAUAUUGUCCGUCUUCAGGGCCCUUUUAAACGAGGCUCCUCGAAAAUGCACCUAAUCAUCCCGAAUCCCAUAUCAAUGGCUGAGUUCCUACUUCUUCCUAUCAUUAGCCUCUUUCUACAUAAAGCAACAAUAUGCACUAAAUCAGGCCGAUAAAGUCCAUGAUAUAUGUAAACCAUUCAACAUUCAAACAUCAUACGGAGAUAAAAGCGAAUUACAUUGAUUUCUUUCACCAAACAUUUAUCAUGAUUCGUGUUAAUAUGCUCGACAAUUUUCUUAAUUAGCCCUAACAUUGUCUUUACCAAUAAUAUUGCGCACUAUUUUAUCCAAGCAACAACUCACAUAAGCAUUUGAAACAUUUGGAAAACAUUCAGAUACCAAUCCAUAAUUGUAUAGAGAGAGAGAGAGAGAGAGAGAGAGAGAGAGAGUUCAUUCGAGCAAACGAGCGGCUGUGCAUGACCUGCUGUCACAAGCUACAGAUUGAUUAUCAAGCAGAGAAAAUUAUGACAUCUAAAUCAAUUUGUUCCAAAUUUCUGAUUAAUAUGUCAAUGAAUUGCAGAAUGAAAAUUACACGUUCGCUACUAUUAGAACAUAUCACGAACCUGAUGGGUGAUCGUCUUCGUUUAACUCUUUUUACUUCUUCUGUGCGAGAAGAAAUGAGCCAGCUUUUUC
rnacentral:lncRNA from 1 species